rnacentral:rRNA from 1 species
AUUGAACGCUGGCGGCAGGCCUAACACAUGCAAGUCGAGCGAAGCGGCGGAAGAGUGAUUAAUGCCUAGGAAUCUGCCUGGUAGUAGGGGAUAACUUCCGGAAACGGGAGAUAAUACCGCAUACUAUCAGAUGAGCCUAGGUCGGAUUAGCUAGAUGGUUGGGUAAAGGCUUACCAAGGCGACGAUCAGGAACUGGUCUACUGGGAUGAUCAGUCACACUGAAACUGAGACACGGUCCAGAGUACUACGGGAGUCAGCAGUGGGGAAGAAUGGACAAGGGGCGAAAGCCUGAGCCAGCCAUGCCGCGUGGGUGAAGAAGGUCUUCGGAUUGUAAAGCACUUUAAGUUGGGAGGCGUUGCCAACAGAAUAAGCACCGGCUAACUUCGUGCCAGCGGCCGCGGUAAUUC